rnacentral:rRNA from 1 species
UACGUAGGGGGCAAGCGUUGUCCGGAAUCAUUGGGCGUAAAGCGCGUGUAGGCGGCUCGGUAAGUCUGCUCUGAAAGCCUGGGGCUCAACCCUGGGAGGCGGGUGGAUACUGCUGAGCUCGAGUCCGGAAGAGGCGAGUGGAAUUCCUGGUGUAGCGGUGAAAUGCGCAGAUAUCAGGAGGAACACCGAUGGCGAAGGCAGCUCGCUGGGACGGUACUGACGCUGAGGCGCGAAAGCGUGGGGAGCAAACAGG